AACGAGGCCGACCUGCGGCUGAGUUACCUGCGGAGGGAUCAUUAUCGAGUUGCAAAACUCCCUAAACCAUUGUGAACCUACCUGUACCGUUCCUUCGGCGGGCGGCGUCAAGCCCUAACCCGGUCCCCUUUACGGGGGAUGGACCCGCCGGAGGCUCCUAAACUCUUAAUUUUAGUUGGCAUCUCUGAGUAAAUCAAAAUAAGUCAAAACUUUUAACAAUGGAUCUCAGAUCGGAAGAGC
rnacentral:misc_RNA from 1 species